CAAGCUGCUGUGAGGUACUAUGAAAGGCAUACGUCAGCUUUAACUAGUUGAGGGAUAGGCUGAAACCCUGCCUAUCCAUCUGCAAGUUUCUUCCCAAUUUUCCUGGCACAGAACAUCAGCAAGGGGAGGGCCACGUUUCUGGCUGGCUGAGCAGAGCGAAAACAACGGAGUUUGACCUGCGGUGUAGAGCUGCUGGCUCCAGUAAGCUCCCUCCCUGCUCUGUGAAUUAGUUUUGAACCCAGAAGAGGCUUGAUAAAGACACAGAAGUGGCAGAGAAAGUUGAAAUGUGAUUCAAAGGCAAAGGGAAAUAUGCAAAGAUCAACUCUUUUCUGUAUGAAGUGCACUAAAAGAUGUGGAUAAGUUGGCAAAUGAAAUGCAGUGAUGAGAAACACAAACCAGGGGCACGGGGAGUGAGAGAAACUGACCUACGUGUGCAGAAUGCUGGGAACUAAACCACUUGCUGCUUGGGAAAAGGACCUUUGAGUUGCUGUGGCUAACACACAGAAAAUGGUUGCACAAGGCUCAGAGAAAGUUGAAAAGUCUCCGAGAAAUAAAAGGAGAGUGAAACAGAAGACGUCAUUGUUUCACUGGGUAAAUUUAUCAUCCACCUACACUGCUGCCCUACUUCAGGCAGGGCUGGUCGAAUGAGAGAGAGGCUGGGGGAAGCAGCAGGAUGCUCAGAGGUAUGGAAUGUGAGGGGCAAUGAGAGUGGCUGCAGUUUUUUAGCCUGAAAAAGAGAUAAUUGUGAGGAGAUGUGGUAGCUAUAAAACAAAGCCAGAAGGGGGAAGAUAGAUAGGAAUCACUUACUCAUUGCGUCCUGUGUCAGACAAACUACAAUGAUCAGGCACCAGGUUUAAAUCAAUACACACAGAGCACAAUUAUGCUGUAGAAUUCAUUCCCACGGGAUGCCGUGGCAGCCAAAAAAGUAAAUUAAGUCAUAAGAAAACACUAAACAAUUUACAGGGAAUAGCUCAAUCAAGACCUAUUGCUGCAACUGUCCAGAUGCUAUCUCCUGAUCUGGAAAUCCCCUACCUAUGACGGCUGGAAGCUGGAAGGGUGUGCCAGAGAAGGCAUCGCUUCAUCCAUGCUACUUCUGUUCUGUCAGAAAUAGGAUGCUGGGUCCGGCUGACUGGUACAGGUGCUCAUAACGUCCAGGUCUGCACCCAGGAUGUGAUCCGGGCAACACUCCACAAUGCAACCAGACGGUGAGCAUUGUUUGUAAGAGCUAAGUUUUCUGAAGAACCAGCAGGCCUUAACAUUGCAUCAAGUUGACCAGAAGUGUCAGUAAUAACACAAUUAAAUACAGAAGCACAGGUCAUGUUUUUUUCGAGUUUCUAGAAAUAAUAGUAACCUCAUUCAAUCAACAGAAGGGUGAUUCAUUGGAUACCUGUUUUGCUUGCCAGGUUCUUUUUUUCCUUUGGGAGUGCAGAACAAAUAUUAGAAACUAAUCAUCAGGGUCCUUAAUUUACACACAAACUACAACGACAUUAUUUAUAAAAAAGAAAAGUUAUUGCUCCACUCAGGGUGGGAAUGUGAAGCUUUUUAAAGCCAGUGACCCUUUGCAGUUCAAGAGCAAAAUCACCCCUCGGAGACUGUCUGCUAGGUGGCCCAUCAGCCCUGUGCUGCGAGAGAAGCUCCUCAGCAAAGGAGACUGAGGCACAUUGUGAAAUAAAGUGAAAAUCUCUAUGAAUCAAAGCACUUCCUAUUUCCAUUGCAAGACAGAUGAACUUUUGAUAACUAAUAGCCCAUUUGAGCUCAAGCCCCUUGACAGCCACAGAGUGUGGGUGUCUUUCCAGAGACUUUGCCCCAGAGCCACUAUAGAGCUGUGACUGUCUGCUCCUGAGAGGGCCAGGAUAUAGUUUAAGGCCAUGAAACAGUUAAGCACAUAUAGGCAUUUGCAUGUGCUAACAUACAUAUAUCAAUAAAUAAUAAAUAUAAACAAUAAAUAUAAAUGAUGCUUACAUAGAUAUAUAAGGAUACAUGCACACACAAUUACAUAUUCAAUAUAUUCAAACAGUUCCAAGUUUUUAUACCAGAAAUUGUGUAACUAGAGCUGCGUAACAGUAUUCAAAAUUAUUCUCUUUCUGUGAUUCUUCAGCUUUUCUAGCAUUUUUAUUAAACAGCUUUUAAAGAGUCCUCUUUGAACUCCUGUCAAAUGUUUUGCAUUUGUCUAAGAUGGUUUGUUUCAGUAAAUUGACACAUCUGUGCGUAGUUUCAGUAAAUUUGACUAUAAUGUUGUAGAAGCUUCUGUGAAAAAAUAAAACUGUUGGUAACUUUUCACUUGGAGAAAAGAGUAAGAGAGAUUUUCUCCUGGAAAAGACUUCUCAGAUACACAUUUUUCACUAGCUUUAAUAAAAGGUCAAAGAAAUGAAAACA